GCCCUAGUAGCUCAGCG
rnacentral:tRNA from 1 species